UUUGUAACCUACCCAUCAGAGGGGGAUAACACUUGGAAACAGGUGCUAAUACCGCAUAACAGUUUAUGCCGCAUGGCAUAAGAGUGAAAGGCGCUUUCGGGUGUCGCUGAUGGAUGGACCCGCGGUGCAUUAGCUAGUUGGUGAGGUAACGGCUCACCAAGGCCACGAUGCAUAGCCGACCUGAGAGGGUGAUCGGCCACACUGGGACUGAGACACGGCCCAGACUCCUACGGGAGGCAGCAGUAGGGAAUCUUCGGCAAUGGACGAAAGUCUGACCGAGCAACGCCGCGUGAGUGAAGAAGGUUUUCGGAUCGUAAAACUCUGUUGUUAGAGAAGAACAAGGACGUUAGUAACUGAACGUCCCCUGACGGUAUCUAACCAGAAAGCCACGGCUAACUACGUGCCAGCAGCCGCGGUAAUACGUAGGUGGCAAGCGUUGUCCGGAUUUAUUGGGCGUAAAGCGAGCGCAGGCGGUUUCUUAAGUCUGAUGUGAAAGCCCCCGGCUCAACCGGGGAGGGUCAUUGGAAACUGGGAGACUUGAGUGCAGAAGAGGAGAGUGGAAUUCCAUGUGUAGCGGUGAAAUGCGUAGAUAUAUGGAGGAACACCAGUGGCGAAGGCGGCUCUCUGGUCUGUAACUGACGCUGAGGCUCGAAAGCGUGGGGAGCAAACAGGAUUAGAUACCCUGGUAGUCCACGCCGUAAACGAUGAGUGCUAAGUGUUGGAGGGUUUCCGCCCUUCAGUGCUGCAGCAAACGCAUUAAGGCACUCCGCCUGGGGAGUACGACCGCAAGGUGGAAACUCAAAGGAAUUGACGGGGGCCCGCACAAGCGGUGGAGCAUGUGGUUUAAUUCAAAGCAACGCGAAGAACCUUACCAGGUCUUGACAUCCUUUGACCACUCUAGAGAUAGAGCUUUCCCUUCGGGGACAAAGUGGACAGGUGGUUGCAUGAUGUCGUCAGCUCGUGUCGUGAGAUGUGGGUUAAGUCCGCAACGAAGCGCAUACCCUUAUGUAAGUGCCAUCAGUUAUGUUGGGUACAUCUUGCGGAGACUGCACGGUGAUAAACGGUGAAGGUA
rnacentral:rRNA from 1 species